GGGGUUGUAAUGGUUUCGACAGGUUUGAGUUUGAUCCCGGCUGCAGUGGAGCGGUGACCAUAUCACCAACUAAAUUUAAACGCAAAUAGAAACAAUAGUUUCGCUUUCGCUGCUUAAUUUAAGCUAAAUAGCUCGCAGCGACCCGGUCAUUGCAUUAGCUGUUCUGUAAUGACUGCGUAAUUCAAACAGAUAAGGUGACCUUGAUGUCUGUAGAGGAAACCUGACAAUCAACAGACAGAUUCAUCAGAUCGAUUGCCUGUUCUCAUAUCUGAUGUCUUAUUAAGCAACAGGAUAAACUGUAGACGCCGAGAUGUGGGACUAUUCUUGGACAGGGGUUCGACUCCCCUCAGCUCCACCA
rnacentral:tmRNA from 1 species